rnacentral:rRNA from 1 species
UACGUAGGGGGCUAGCGUUGUCCGGAAUCAUUGGGCGUAAAGCGCGUGUAGGCGGUCCGGUAAGUCCGCUGUGAAAGUCGGGGGCUCAACCCUCGGAUGCCGGUGGAUACUGUCGGGCUUGAGUACGGAAGAGGCGAGUGGAAUUCCAGGUGUAGCGGUGAAAUGCGUAGAUAUCUGGAGGAACACCGGUGGCGAAGGCGGCAUCCUGGACCGGCAUUGACGCUGAGGCGCGAAAGCUAGGGGAGCAAACGGG